rnacentral:rRNA from 1 species
GAGCUUUAAUUAACUAACUCAUAAAUACAAUAAUCACCCGCAAGGCACAAUCCCCCUUUUACUGAGUUAGCAAUUUAGGUUGGGGUGGCCUCGGAAUAUAAAUAAACUUCCGAGAAAGUCAAUCAAGACACACAAGUCAAAAUUAAUACAUUAAACACUGAUCCGCUACGGCGAUCAACGGAAUAAGUUACCCUAGGGAUAACAGCGCAAUCCUAUUUAAGAGUCCAUAUCGACAAUUAGGGUUUAC